rnacentral:rRNA from 1 species
UACGUAGGUGACAAGCGUUGUCCGGAAUUAUUGGGCGUAAAGCGCUCGCAGGUGGUUCGUCGCGUCGUGCGUGAAAGACCCCGGCUCAACUGGGGAGGGUCGUGCGAUACGGGCGAACUGGAGGCCAGUAGGGGGAUGCGGAAUUCCGGGUGUAGUGGUGGAAUGCGUAGAGAUCCGGAGGAACACCAGCGGCGAAGGCGGCAUCCUGGACUGGUCCUGACACUCAGGAGCGAAAGCGUGGGGAGCGAUCCGG